rnacentral:rRNA from 3 species
CAGGUGGUCAGGUAGAGAAUACCAAGGCGCUUGAGAGAACUCGGGUGAAGGAACUAGGCAAAAUGGUGCCGUAACUUCGGGAGAAGGCACGCUGACACGUAGGUGAAGUGAUUUACUCAUGGAGCUGAAGUCAGUCGAAGAUACCAGCUGGCUGCAACUGUUUAUUAAAAACACAGCACUGUGCAAACACGAAAGUGGACGUAUACGGUGUGACGCCUGCCCGGUGCCGGAAGGUUAAUUGAUGGGGUCAGCGCAAGCGAAGCUCCUGAUCGAAGCCCCGGUAAACGGCGGCCGUAACUAUAACGGUCCUAAGGUAGCGAAAUUCCUUGUCGGGUAAGUUCCGACCUGCACGAAUGGCGUAAUGAUGGCCAGGCUGUCUCCACCCGAGACUCAGUGAAAUUGAACUCGCUGUGAAGAUGCAGUGUACCCGCGGCAAGACGGAAAGACCCCGUGAACCUUUACUAUAGCUUGACACUGAACAUUGAGCCUUGAUGUGUAGGAUAGGUGGGAGGCUUUGAAGCGUGGACGCCAGUCUGCGUGGAGCCGACCUUGAAAUACCACCCUUUAAUGUUUGAUGUUCUAACGUGGACCCGUAAUCCGGGUUGCGGACAGUGUCUGGUGGGUAGUUUGACUGGGGCGGUCUCCUCCUAAAGAGUAACGGAGGAGCACGAAGGUUGGCUAAUCCUGGUCGGACAUCAGGAGGUUAGUGCAAUGGCAUAAGCCAGCUUGACUGCGAGCGUGACGGCGCGAGCAGGUGCGAAAGCAGGUCAUAGUGAUCCGGUGGUUCUGAAUGGAAGGGCCAUCGCUCAACGGAUAAAAGGUACUCCGGGGAUAACAGGCUGAUACCGCCCAAGAGUUCAUAUCGACGGCGGUGUUUGGCACCUCGAUGUCGGCUCAUCACAUCCUGGGGCUGAAGUAGGUCCCAAGGGUAUGGCUGUUCGCCAUUUAAAGUGGUACGCGAGCUGGGUUUAGAACGUCGUGAGACAGUUCGGUCCCUAUCUGCCGUGGGCGCUGGAGAACUGAGGGGGGCUGCUCCUAGUACGAGAGGACCGGAGUGGACGCAUCACUGGUGUUCGGGUUGUCAUGCCAAUGGCACUGCCCGGUAGCUAAAUGCGGAAGAGAUAAGUGCUGAAAGCAUCUAAGCACGAAACUUGCCCCGAGAUGAGUUCUCCCUGAGACUUAGAGUCUCCUGAAGGAACGUUGAAGACGACGACGUUGAUAGGCCGGGUGUGUAAGCGCAGCGAUGCGUUGAGCUAACCGGUACUAAUGAACCGUGAGGCUUAACCUUAC